rnacentral:ribozyme from 1 species
GUCGUCACAUACCGCCAGGCAGGAGCCUCAGGAGUUGGAUUGCUCGUGAUGGCGCUCAUUUUCUUUGGAUGCUCCUACAUCUG